GUGCCUGCUUCAGCUGCACAUAUACUAAAAUUAGAACGACACAGAGAAGCUGAGCGUGCCCUUGGGCAAGGAUGACACACAAAUUCGUGAAGCUUUCCAUAUUUUU
ensembl:snRNA U6 U6 spliceosomal RNA